rnacentral:rRNA from 1 species
UACGGGGGGGGGCAAGCGUUGUUCGGAAUUACUGGGCGUAAAGGGCGCGUAGGCGGCCUGCUAAGUCGGAUGUGAAAUCCCUCGGCUCAACCGAGGAACUGCAUCCGAUACUGGCCCGGGCUUGAAUCCGGGAGAGGGAUGUGGAAUUCCAGGUGUAGCGGUGAAAUGCGUAGAUAUCUGGAGGAACACCGGUGGCGAAGGCGGCAUCCUGGACCGACACUGACACUGAGGAGCGAAAGCCAGGGGAGCAAACAGG